rnacentral:rRNA from 1 species
AAGGAAUUUUCGGCAAUGGGGGCAACCCUGACCGAGCAACGCCGCGUGGAGGAUGACGGCCUUCGGGUUGUAAACUCCUUUUGCGGGGGAAGACAGUGACUGUACCCCGCGAAUAAGGCUCGGCUAACUCUGUGCCAGCAGCCGCGGUAAGACAGAGGAGCCAAGCGUUGUCCGGAUUGACUGGGCGUAAAGCGCACGCAGGCGGUCGCGCGCGUGGGGUGUGAAAACUGGCGGCUUAACUGCCAGAGGCCAUCCCAUACGGCGCGACUCGAGCCCUGCAGAGGUCCACGGAAUUGCCGGUGUAGUGGUGAAAUGCGUAGAGAUCGGCAGGAACACCCAGGGGGAAACCAGUGGACUGGGCAGGAGCUGACGCUCAGGUGCGAAAGCGUGGGGAGCGAAC